rnacentral:rRNA from 1 species
GAGUUUGAUCGUGGCUCAGAUUGAACGCUGGCGGCAGGCCUAACACAUGCAAGUCGAGCGGUAGAGAGAAGCUUGCUUCUCUUGAGAGCGGCGGACGGGUGAGUAAUGCCUAGGAAUCUGCCUGGUAGUGGGGGAUAACGCUCGGAAACGGACGCUAAUACCGCAUACGUCCUACGGGAGAAAGCAGGGGACCUUCGGGCCUUGCGCUAUCAGAUGAGCCUAGGUCGGAUUAGCUAGUUGGUGAGGUAAUGGCUCGACCAAGGCGACGAUCCGUAACUGGUCUGAGAGGAUGAUCAGUCACACUGGAACUGAGACACGGUCCAGACU